GACGAAGGGGGCUAGCGUUGUUCGGAAUUACUGGGCGUAAAGGGCGCGUAGGCGGCACGGCAAGUCAGGAGUGAAAGGCCUGGGCUCAACCGAGGAACUGCUUUUGAGACUGCCGAGCUAGAGUGCAGAAGGGGCAACUGGAAUUCCCAGUGUAGCGGUGAAAUGCGUAGAUAUUGGGAAGAACACCUGAGGCGAAGGCGGGUUGCUGGGCUGACACUGACGCUGAGGCGCGAAAGCCAGGGGAGCAAACGGG
rnacentral:rRNA from 1 species